CCUACGGGAGGCAGCAGUGAGGAAUAUUGGUCAAUGGACGAGAGCCUGAACCAGCCAAGUAGCGUGAAGGAUGACUGCCCUAUGGGUUGUAAACUUCUUUUAUAUGGGAAUAAAAUGUUCCACGUGUGGGAUUUUGUAUGUACCAUAUGAAUAAGGAUCGGCCAACUCCGUGCCCGGAGCAGCGGGAAUACCGAAGGUCCGAACGUUAACCGGAUUUAUUGGGUUUAAAGGGAGCGUAGGUGGAUUGUUAAGGUAGUUGUGAAAGUUUGCGGCUAAAACGUAAGAUUGCAGUUGAAACUGGCAGUCUUGAGUACAGUAGAGGUGUGCGGAAUUCGUGGUGUAGCGGUGAAAUGCUUAGAUAUCACGAAGAACUCCGAUUGCGAAGGCAGCUUACUGGACUGCAACUGACACUGAGGCUCGAAAGUGUGGGUAUCAAACAGGAUUAGAUACCCUUGUAGUC
rnacentral:rRNA from 1 species